rnacentral:tRNA from 1 species
AUUACUUUGGCAGAAAAGUGCAUUGAAUUUAGAAUUCAAAUAUGUAAAUUAUUUUACAAGUAAUA